GAACGCUGGCGGCGUGCCUCAUACAUGCAAGUCGAACGCGAGGCUCCCCGCAAGGGGAGUAGUAGAGUGGCAAACGGGUGCGUAACACGUAGGUAAUCUGCCUUCGAGUUGGGGAUAAACCCUCGAAAGGGGGUCUAAUACCGAAUAACAUUUCGGGCCGGCAUCGGCUUGAAAUUAAAGAUGGCCUCUGCUUGCAAGCUAUCACUCGAAGAUGAGCCUGCGUCCGAUUAGUUAGNGGCGGGAUAAAAGCCCACCAAGACUCCGAUCGGUAGCCGGCCUGAGAGGGUGUCCGGCCACACUGGGACUGAGAUACGGCCCAGACUCCUACGGGAGGCAGCAGUAGGGAAUAUUGCGCAAUGGCCGCAAGGCUGACGCAGCAACGCCGCGUGGGGGAUGAAGGUUUUCGGAUCGUAAACCCCUGUCGAGAGGAAGAAGGUCAACUGGCAAAUAGCCUUUUGGCUUGACGGUACCUUUAGAGGAAGUUCCGGCUAACUCCGUGCC
rnacentral:rRNA from 1 species